rnacentral:rRNA from 1 species
UACAGGGGGGGCAAGCGUUGUUCGGAAUUACUGGGCGUAAAGCGCACGUAGGCGGCUUGUUAAGUCAGGGGUGAAAUCCUGGAGCUCAACUCCAGAACUGCCUUUGAUACUGGCAAUCUAGAGUCCGGAAGAGGUGAGUGGAACUCCUAGUGUAGAGGUGGAAUUCGUAGAUAUUAGGAAGAACACCAGUGGCGAAGGCGGCUCACUGGGCCGUUACUGACGCUGAGGUGCGAAAGCGUGGGGAGCAAACAGG